rnacentral:rRNA from 1 species
UACAGAGGGUGCAAGCGUUGUUCGGAAUUAUUGGGCGUAAAGGGCGCGUAGGCGGCCGCGUAUGUCCGGUGUGAAAGCCCACCUCUUAAAGGUGGAAUUGCAUCGGAAACUACGUGGCUGGAGUGUCGGAGAGGAUGGUGGAAUUCCUGGUGUAGAGGUGAAAUUCGUAGAUAUCAGGAGGAACACCGGUGGCGAAGGCGGCCAUUUGGACGACUACUGACGCUGAGGCGCGAAAGCGUGGGGAUCAAACAGG